GUCGUAACAUAGUANNUGUACUGGAAAGUGUAUCUGGAAUUACAU
rnacentral:rRNA from 1 species